AAACUGGUAGCUCAGUGGUCAGAGCAGGAGCUAAGUAUCCAUUCAUUCUGAGUGCCUCGAAGCUACUCAGAAAGUUUGGAAGAGUUCAAGGACGUAGGUUCGGAUCCUAUUCAGUUCA